CACACGACUCUCGGCAACGGAUAUCUCGGCUCUCGCAUCGAUGAAGAACGUAGCAAAAUGCGAUACCUGGUGUGAAUUGCAGAAUCCCGUGAACCAUCGAGUCUUUGAACGCAAAUUGCGCCCCAGGCCUUCUGGCCGAGGGCACGCCUGCCUGGGCGUCACGC
rnacentral:rRNA from 2 species